AUACGGAGGAUCCAAGCGUUAUCCGGAUUUACUGGGUUUAAAGCGAGCGUAGGCUGAUGGGUAAGUCAGAUGUGAAAGCUUAAGGCUCAACCUUGAAAUUGCAUUUGAUACUGCACGUCUUGAGUGCAUUAAAGGUGGGCGGAAUUCGUGGUGUAGCGGUGAAAUGCUUAGAUAUCACGAAGAACUCCAGUGGCGAAGGCAGCCCACAGGACGAUAACUGACGCUGAUGCUCGAAAGUGUGGGUAUCAAACAGGAUUAGAUACCCUGGUAGUCCACGCAGUAAACGAUGAAUACUCGCUGUUUGGGAUAUACAGUAAGCGGCGAAGCGAAAGCGUUAAGUAUUCCGCCUGGGGAGUACGCCCGCAACGGUGA
rnacentral:rRNA from 1 species